rnacentral:rRNA from 1 species
UGAGGAAUAUUGGUCAAUGGGCGUAAGCCUGAACCAGCCAAGUAGCGUGAAGGAUGAAGGCUCUAUGGGUCGUAAACUUCUUUUAUAAAGGAAUAAAGUGAGCCACGUGUGGCUUUUUGUAUGUACUUUAUGAAUAAGGAUCGGCUAACUCCGUGCCAGCAGCCGCGGUAAUACGGAGGAUCCGAGCGUUAUCCGGAUUUAUUGGGUUUAAAGGGAGCGUAGGUGGAUUAUUAAGUCAGUUGUGAAAGUUUGCGGCUCAACCGUAAAAUUGCAGUUGAUACUGGUAGUCUUGAGUUAAGUAGAGGUGGGCGGAAUUCGUGGUGUAGCGGUGAAAUGCUUAGAUAUCACGAAGAACUCCAAUUGCGAAGGCAGCUCACUGGACUUUUACUGACACUGAUGCUCGAAAGUGUGGGUAUCAAACA